rnacentral:rRNA from 1 species
AGAGUUUGAUCAUGGCUCAGAACGAACGCUGGCGGCAUGCCUAACACAUGCAAGUCGAACGCGUGGAGCGAUCCACGAGUGGCGCACGGGUGAGUAACGCGUGGGAACCUGCCCUUGAGUGGGGGAUAACCCGGCGAAAGCCGGGCUAAUACCGCAUACGCCCUGGGAGUGAUCUUGGGGGAAAGAUUUAUCGCUCGAGGAGGGGCCCGCGUGGGAUUAGCUAGUUGGUGAGGUAACGGCUCACCAAGGCGAUGAUCCCUAGCUGGUCUGAGAGGAUGAUCAGCCACACUGGGACUGAGACACGGCCCAGACUCCUACGGGAGGCAGCAGUGGGGAAUAUUGGACAAUGGGGGCAACCCUGAUCCAGCAAUGCCGCGUGAGUGAUGAAGGCCUUAGGGUUGUAAAGCUCUUUCGCCCGCGACGAUGAUGACGGUAGCGGGAGAAGAAGCCCCGGCUAACUUCGUGCCAGCCGCCGCGGUAAUUC